rnacentral:rRNA from 1 species
AAACCCCGACUUCGGGAGGGGUGUAUUUUUAGAUAAAAACCAACGCCCCUCGGGGCUCCUUGGUGAUUCAUAAUACUUUCUCAGAUCGCAUGGCCUUGCGCCGGCGACGGUUCAUUCAAAUUUCUGCCCUAUCAACUUUCGAUGGUAAGGUAGUGGCUUACCAUGGUUUCAACGGGUAACGGGGAAUUAGGGUUCGAUUCCGGAGAGGGAGCCGGAGGAACGGCUACCACAUCCAAGGAAGGCAGCAGGCGCGCAAAUUACCCAAUUCCGAUACGGAGAGGUAGUGACAAUAAAUACUGAUACAGGGCUCUUUUGGGUCUUGUAAUUGGAAUGAGUACAAUUUAAACCUCUUAACGAGGAACAAUUGGAGGGCAAGUCUGGUGCCAGCAGCCGCGGUAAUUCCAGCUCCAAUAGCGUAUAUUAAAGUUGUUGCAGUUAAAAAGCUCGUAGUUGAACCUUUGGCCUGGCUGGCAGGUCCGCCUCACCGCGUGCACUUGUCCGGCCGGGCCUUUUCUUCUGGGCAACCGCAUGCCCUUCACUGGGUGUGUUGGGGACCAGGACUUUUACUUUGAAAAAAUUAGAGUGUUCAAAGCAGGCCUUUGCUCGAAUACGUUAGCAUGGAAUAAUAGAAUAGGACGUGCGGUCCUAUUUUGUUGGUUUCUAGGACCGCCGUAAUGAUUAAUAGGGACAGUCGGGGGCAUCAGUAUUCAAUUGUCAGAGGUGAAAUUCUUGGAUUUAUUGAAGACUAACUACUGCGAAAGCAUUUGCCAAGGAUGUUUUCAUUAAUCAGUGAACGAAAGUUAGGGGAUCGAAGACGAUCAGAUACCGUCGUAGUCUUAACCAUAAACUAUGCCGACUAGGGAUCGGGCGGUGUUUCUAUUGUGACCCGCUCGGCACCUUACGAGAAAUCAAA